rnacentral:rRNA from 1 species
GACGAACGCUGGCGGGGUGGUGAACACAUGCAAGUCGAACGGAAAGGCCCUGCUUUUGUGGGGUGCUCGAGUGGCGAACGGGUGAGUAACACGUGAGUAACCUGCCCUUGACUUUGGGAUAACUUCAGGAAACUGGGGCUAAUACCGGAUAGGAGCUCCUGCUGCAUGGUGGGGGUUGGAAAGUUUCGGCGGUUGGGGAUGGACUCGCGGCUUAUCAGCUUGUUGGUGGGGUAGUGGCUUACCAAGGCUUUGACGGGUAGCCGGCCUGAGAGGGUGACCGGCCACAUUGGGACUGAGAUACGGCCCAGACUCCUACGGGAGGCAGCAGUGGGGAAUAUUGCACAAUGGGCGGAAGCCUGAUGCAGCAACGCCGCGUGCGGGAUGACGGCCUUCGGGUUGUAAACCGCUUUCGCCUGUGACGAAGCGUGAGUGACGGUAAUGGGUAAAGAAGCACCGGCUAACUACGUG